rnacentral:rRNA from 1 species
UACGUAGGGCGCAAGCGUUGUCCGGAAUUAUUGGGCGUAAAGAGCUCGUAGGCGGUCUGUCGCGUCUGCCGUGAAAACCCGAGGCUUAACCUCGGGCUGGCGGUGGAUACGGGCAGACUAGAGGUAGGUAGGGGAGAAUGGAAUUCCCGGUGUAGCGGUGAAAUGCGCAGAUAUCGGGUGGAACACCAGUGGCGAAGGCGGUGUUCUGGGCCGGAACUGACGCUGAGACGCGAAAGCGUGGGGAGCAAACAGG